rnacentral:rRNA from 1 species
GACGUAGGGCGCGAGCGUUGUCCGGAUUUAUUGGGCGUAAAGAGCUCGUAGGCGGCUUGUCGCGUCGUUCGUGAAAACCUGCAGCUCAACUGCCGGCUUGCGGGCGAUACGGGCAGGCUAGAGUUCGGUAGGGGAGACUGGAAUUCCUGGUGUAGCGGUGAAAUGCGCAGAUAUCAGGAGGAACACCGGUGGCGAAGGCGGAUCUCUGGGCCUUACCUGACGCUCAGGCGCGAAAGCUAGGGGAGCGAACAGG